CCUACGGGCGGCAGCAGUGGGGAAUAUUGGACAAUGGGCGAAAGCCUGAUCCAGCCAUGCCGCGUGUGUGAAGAAGGCCUUCGGGUUGUAAAGCACUUUCAGUGGGGAAGAAAGCCUUGGGGCUAAUACCCUCGAGGAAGGACAUCACCCACAGAAGAAGCACCGGCUAACUCCGUGCCAGCAGCCGCGGUAAUACGGAGGGUGCGAGCGUCAAUCGGAAUUACUGGGCGUAAAGCGCGCGUAGGCGGUCUGAUAAGCCGGUUGUGAAAGCCCCGGGCUCAACCUGGGAACGGCAUCCGGAACUGUCAGGCUAGAGUGCAGGAGAGGAAGGUAGAAUUCCCGGUGUAGCGGUGAAAUGCGUAGAGAUCGGGAGGAAUACCAGUGGCGAAGGCGGCCUUCUGGACUGACACUGACGCUGAGGUGCGAAAGCGUGGGUAGCAAACAGGAUUAGAUACCCUUGUAGUC
rnacentral:rRNA from 1 species